UUGUUAAUGUACGGCCCGUCGAGAUAGACGGUACGGAUAUUCGGUGUGACGCCUUCGUUGGAGGAUAUAAAGGUAAUUGUGUGAAGGGUGCACGUGUGAGUGUGGUGCAAGAAGCGGGGGAUUGCUCCCCACUUCUACAUUUUCCCCAGGAGAAUCAUUUCUCCCACUUCCUCCCUUUCUCACUCUCUCGGCAGUCUCUCUCUCUUCUUCUCCUCCGAAAACUCCCUCCUCUCUUCUCUCUUUGAUUUCAUCUACUUAAGGGGUGAUUCCGGACAAGGCCCGAGAAUUAAAAUUGUUAUACGGUGCAUGAGCUUUCCGAAUAUCCAAGAAAAAUCAUGAUCGGACCGCGUGGGAGCUUGGUUGACUUGGUCAAAGGUUCGGGUUUUGCUCAAAACCCAUGAGGUACACUACAUGGACACAGUCUUGGAGGGUGUGAAGUGCAUGCAGACAUCACAGGCUAAAGUUAUUUUCUGAAGAACUUGUCUUUCCCUUUGUAAAUCAAACUGUAUUGUACUAUUUUCUCUAACUUGGAAUACUGUAUCAGUUGACAAAUUGUGAGAUUUAGAAACUGUAUGUCGUAAUUUGGGGUACCGUAUAUACUAUUGUGAGGAUUUGUAAUUAAAA